AAAUCAAUGGAAAAAUACCUUCGGUGAGGAUUUUUAAGAAAGAAGGAGGCACUGACGCUACAACUGGAUGAACCUUGACAACAAGAUGCUAAGUGAAGGAGCCAGACCGGGGUUCCGUUGACAUGAAGUGUCCAGAAUAGGAAAAGCUCCAGAGACAGCAGCCUCGACUGAGCCACCUGGUGACAACGGAGGCUACAGAUGACUUCAGACAAGACCAGCAAAAGAACCGCCCAGCUCAGCCCCACUCCAGUUGCAGAACGGUGAGGAAAUAAACAA